ACUGAGUAUUCGGUUGGUGCAAAAGUAAUUUGUGGUUUUGGUCGAUUACUUUUAAUGGCAAAAACUGCAAUUACUUUUGUACCAACCUAAUAGUUUA
rnacentral:miRNA from 10 species